rnacentral:rRNA from 1 species
UGUCUUUUUGAUUAUAAUUUAAAGUCUAAUCUGCCCACUGAGUUAUUGAAUGGCCGCGGUAUUUUGACCGUGCAAAGGUAGCAUAAUAAUUAGUUUUUUAAUUGAAAGCUGGAAUGAAUGAUUGGAUGAGAAAAUUACUGUCUCAAAUUAAUUUAAUUAGAAUUUUAUAUUUAAGUUAAAAAGCUUAAAUUUUAUUAAAAGACGAGAAGACCCUAUAGAGUUUAAUAAAUAAUUAUUAUUUAAAUUUGUAGUUUUUAUUAUUUGAAUUUUUAAUAUUUAUUUUGUUGGGGUGAUAGAAAAAUUAGAUAAACUUUUUUUAUAUAUUAACAUUAAUUUAUGAAUUUUUGAUCCAUUAUUAUUGAUUAAAAGAUAAAAUUACCUUAGGGAUAACAGCGUAAUUUUUUUUGAGAGUUCUUAUCGAAAAAAAAGAUUGCGACCUCGAUGUUGGAUUAAAGUAUAAUUUUGGUGUAGAAGCUAAAAAAUUAGGUCUGUUCGACCUUUAAAACUUU